GAUGAACGCUGGCGGCGUGCCUAAUACAUGCAAGUCGAGCGAACGGACGAGACGCUUGCUUCUCUGAUGUUAGCGGCGGACGGGUGAGUAACACGUGGCUAACCUACCUAUAAGACUGGGAUACCUUCGGGAAACCGGAGCUAAUACCGGAUAAUAUUUUGAACCGCAUGGUUCAAAAGUGAAAGACGGUCUUGCUGUCACUUAUAGAUGGAUCCGCGCUGCAUUAGCUAGUUGGUAAGGUAACGGCUUACCAAGGCAACGAUGCAUAGCCGACCUGAGAGGGUGAUCGGCCACACUGGAACUGAGACACGGUCCAGACUCAUACGGGAGGCAGCAGUAGGGAAUCGUCCGCAAUGGGCGAAAGCCUGACGGAGCAACGCCGCGUGAGUGAUGAAGGUCUUCGGAUCGGAAAACUCUGUUAUUAGGGAAGAACAUAUGUGUAAGUAACUGUGCACAUCUUGACGGUACCUAAUCAGAAAGCCACGGCUAACUACGUG
rnacentral:rRNA from 1 species